UACGUAGGGUGCGAGCGUUGUCCGGAAUUAUUGGGCGUAAAGCGCGCGCAGGCGGCUUGACGCGCCCGACGUGAAAGCCCCCGGCUUAACCGGGGAGGGUCGUCGGGUACGGUCAGGCUUGAGGGCGGGAGAGGGUGGUGGAAUUCCCGGUGUAGUGGUGAAAUGCGUAGAGAUCGGGAGGAACACCUGUGGCGAAGGCGGCCACCUGGGCCGACCCUGACGCUGAGGCGCGAAGGCGUGGGGAGCGAACGGG
rnacentral:rRNA from 1 species